AAGGACGCAGCAGAACAGGUGCUC
rnacentral:siRNA from 1 species